GUGGGCGUUCCGCUSCSGGSRAUUCGCAAAUUCCAUUGAACCUUAUCAUUUAGAGGAAGGAGAAGUCGUAACAAGGUUUCCGUAGGUGAACCUGCGGAAGGAUCAUUGUCGAU
rnacentral:rRNA from 1 species